rnacentral:rRNA from 1 species
CGGUGGAACAUGUGGUUUAAUUCGAAGCAACGCGAAGAACCUUACCAAGCCUUGACAUCCAAUGAACUUUCUAGAGAUAGAUUGGUGCCUUCGGGAACAUUGAGACAGGUGCUGCAUGGCUGUCGUCAGCUCGUGUCGNGAGAUGUUGGGUUAAGUCCCGUAACGAGCGCAACCCUUGUCCUUAGUUACCAGCACGUUAUGGUGGGCACUCUAAGGAGACUGCCGGUGACAAACCGGAGGAAGGUGGGGAUGACGUCAAGUCAUCAUGGCCCUUACGGCCUGGGCUACACACGUGCUACAAUGGUCGGUACANAGGGUUGCCAAGCCGCGAGGUGGAGCUAAUCCCACAAAAUCGANCGNUUCUCCGNAUCGCAAUUCUGNAANCCUACCUGNGUGAANUCGGA